AGGAAGAAUUAUGACUACAAAAAGCUUACAGUGAGAGAAGCAUAGGACUCUUGCGGCACCUUCCUAACUCUUGAUGAGAAGACCUGGGUUCAACUUCCACUUGAUCCAGAAGUGUGUAAUCAGCAAGCAAUAGAGUUUUAGACUCUCCAGGGAUUUCAUUGAGGAACACUGGAAUGGUCAAAUAAUUGAAAAUCAUGAAGAGGUUUGCAUUCAAGAAGAAAGGCUCAAUAGCUGGCUGAAUCUUGAUCAUUAAGAAACUAAUGGAAUCAUCAGAGGUAGACUAAAGAACAACAAUAUCUAGAUAUCCUACUAUCAACAUACAUUCAACAAUGAACUCAUAACGUCACUUCUUUAAUUUGAACUUCCAAGCCCCUUCUCAAAGAUAUCAUCUUAAAAGUUUGAACUAAUAUGAUUAAAUUCAAAGUUUAAAAUCAGGACCCCAGUUCUCGAUUUACUCAUGAGAACACAGAAUAAUUUUAAUACUUUACCAAAAUUUUUGACAUAAAAGCUGCCCAAAACUGUUGCAACUUCUUGGGUUUUGUUUAAAUAAUAACAUAAGGUAAUGUACACAAAUUUUCACAACAAUUUUGUAGAACAGUCAUCCAUGGGUUGUGCUCACGAUGGUUACAGCAUUAUUCAAAUUCUUUCCACUACUUUUGAAAACUAUAUUCUUUUACAUGAAAGGAGCAAACUAAUUUUGGAUUAUGAGGUAAAAUAAGAUACUGUUAGUGUAGUGAUUGUAGUGUGAUCAGCCAGGUGGACCUCAUACAACAUGAUUUCCCUAAC